UUAACCCAACGCACGUGAAAAUUACUUUUUCUAUCCUCUUUUAUUACAUUUUCCUACCUCGCUCCAAUUAUCCCUGGCAAUUAAUCUCCUCCUGCUCCUCCGCCGCCGAGUCCGCGUCCCUCUUCCCCGAAAACCAUAGAAAUGUCCUCUCCAUCUUUGGAAUUUCCUCUCGGUCUUUCUCUCGACGACCGCCGGCCACGUCCUCAGCUCUCUUUUCGUCGGCACAUCAUUGUUUCUUGGAAUCACCGCGCCGAUCCUCAACAAAACCCUAAUAAGUUUCUUUGCUGAAGGAUUCGGCAUCGAGGAAGUUGGGGUCGUUUCUUGUGCCGUCGCAGUUUCAGGAUUAUUGGGACAGGAGAGGAUGUUACCAUCGCGGGGCUUUGCUAUUUUUUUCAAAAUCCCCAGCUCUUUGCCAAGCGAAACAUGUUACUCUCUUGAGGCUGAUUGUUGUCACAUUAGAAGAUACGCAUAGUACUCACAGAAAAAGGGUUAAUAAGUUGCGAAGUCCGUACCUUCUCAGUGGAGUUAUACCCCCUGCGAUGAGAAUGCAUUGAGUUCAAAUGCACAUGCAUAAUGCACGAGACGAAAAUGGUACAGGUAUAAGUUAAUGGAAUUAAACUAAAAGAUGGAGAAAAUAUGCGUUGUUUUUAUGAUACAUAAAAAGUGUAUUAUAAAUGAUAUGGAAUAGAGUUCUAUCUAAGGGAAUAUUUGCAAUGUAGUAGUAUUUUGUAGUAUAUAUAUUUGUCGUCACCCAUUAAUUUUU